CCCUUAGAUGUUCUGGGCCGCACGCGCGCUACACUGAUGCAUUCAACGAGCCUAUCCUUGACCGACAGGUCCGGGUAAUCUUUGAAUCUGCAUCGUGAUGGGGAUAGAUUAUUGCAAUUAUUAGUCUUGAACGAGGAAUUCCUAGUAAGCACAAGUCAUCAGCUUGUGUUGAUUACGUCCCUGCCCUUUGUACACACCGCCCGUCGCUCCUACCGAUUGAAUGUUCCGGUGAGCUCUUCGGACUGCGCGGUCUGCAGUUUCUGCGUUCCGUGCGGAAAGUUGCGCAAACCUUAACAUUUAGAGGAAGGAGAAGUCGUAACA
rnacentral:rRNA from 1 species